ACUCAGUGGCAAGACCUCACCAAAAGAGUGUCUGAGAUAUAUAAGAAGCUGUAAAGGGGUUUAACUCUCCAGCAUCCACCAAACAUUAAAAUGUAAAUUAUGGUGAUGAUGAUCACUGGGACAAUGCAGAAUGUCCCUAACAUACGUCAGAUGUAAAGCUGUAAUGCCUUUGUUCCACACAAGGUGGAACUCUCAUCCAUAUGGAAUGGCCCGCACAGACAGGAAGUGAUUUUCGAAGCAAAGAGGAAGUGAUUGUACAGAUAAACAGGAAGUUCUGGGACAGAGGUGAGUCAUGAGGAAGUAGAGAGGAGACAUUGCUGGAACUGGCAGCAGACGAGAGUUUCCCUGCUGUCAAGAAGGCUGGUGACCAUACAACCAUCAGAGUGCCUCCACUUCACUCUCUGGCUCCUAAGUGGCACCACAAGUGGAAGAUUCUAGAAGUCACCAAGAGGAUCACUGAGCUACUGGCAGGAGAGGUUCCUAUAAGGUGUCAGGAUGUCACUGUCUAUUUCUCCAU